rnacentral:rRNA from 1 species
GAUGAACGCUGGCGGUAUGCUUUACACAUGCAAGUCGUACGAGAGUUUUUAACUCAAGUGGCGGACGGGUGAGUAACACGUAAGAAUUUGCCUUUAGGAGGGGGACAACAACUGGAAACGGUUGCUAAUACCCCAUAUGCUUUCGAGUGAAACGGUUUUUCCGCCUAAAGAGAAGCUUGCGGCUGAUUAGCUUGUUGGUAAGGUAAUGGCUUACCAAGGCGACGAUCAGUAUCUGGUUUGAGAGGACGAUCAGACACACUGGAACUGAGACACGGUCCAG